GGCAGGUGAUGUCCUUUCUCACGAUGGUCUUCAGAGGCCGUGACCCAUGGGCUCACUGUUGAUUGUGCCUUAAGGCUCAGCUGAUGCCAGCCC
rnacentral:snoRNA from 1 species